rnacentral:misc_RNA from 1 species
GAUGAAGAACGUAGCGAAAUGCGAUACGUAAUGUGAAUUGCAGAAUUCAGUGAAUCAUCGAAUCUUUGAACGCACAUUGCACUCUCUGGUAUUCCGGAGAGUAUGCUUGUUUGAGUAUCUGUAAACAUCUCAAAUCUCUCUUCAAUUGCUUCAAUUGGGUCGAGAGAAUUGGAUUUGAGCGAUCCCGACUCCUACGUCAGAAAGAGGAGGGUCGCUUGAAAUGCAGGUGCAGCUGGACAUUCUUCUGAGCAAAAAGCAUAUCUAUUUAGUCCCGUCAAACGGAUUAUUACUUUUGCUUCAGCUAAUAUAAAGGUUGAAUGAACUACCAACGCUGAUUGCAGGAAAACAUGUUCGUUUAUUCGGACUUGUAAACUCGAUCUCAAAUCAAGUAAGACUACCCGCUGAACUUAAGCAUAUCAAUAAGCGGAGGA